UGUGUGUGUGUGUGUGCGUGUUUGUUUGUGUGUGUGUGUGUUAUAUAGAUUAUAUAGUGAACUUAAAAAAUCUUCUUGUGAAAAACCACUUGUCCAAUUUCAACCAAACUUGGCAGGAUUGAUCCUUGGGUGAAGGGCUUCUAAAAUUGUUCAAAGAAUUUCAUUCCAUGCAGAAAUCUGGUUGCCAUGGCAACCAAAAGGAAUUAUAAGAAUAAAUUUAAAAAAUCUUCUUGUAAAGACCCAGAAGGGCUAGAGCUUAGAUAUUUUGCAUAAGGCAUUGUCUGGUAGACCUCUACCAAGAUUGUUCAAAUUAUAGCCCUGGGGUCAAAAUGGGCCCCGCCCCGGUGGUCAUUGAUUUUCACUUUAUGUACAUAUAGUAAAAACUUAAAAUACCUUCUUGUAAAGACCCAAAAGGCCAAGAGCUUAGAUAUUUUGCAUAAGGCAUUGUCUUGUAGACCCUUACCAAGAUUGUUCGAAUUAUAGCCCUGGGGUCAAAAUCGGCCCCACCCCGGGGGGUCAUUUAAUUUCACUUUAUGUACAUAUAGUAAAAACUUAAAAUACCUUCUUGUAAAGACCCAAAAGGCCUAGAGCUUAGAUAUUUUGCAUAAGGCAUUGUGUAGUGAACCUCUAGCAAGAUUGUUCAAAUUAUAGCCUUGGGGUCAAAAUCGGCCCGCCCCUGGGGUCAUUGGUUUUCUUUAUAUGUAUAUUGUAAAAACUUACAGUAAAAACUUUAAAAAAAUUUCUUCUAGCAAUUGACAAAUGCUAGAGGUUAGAUAUUUUGCAUGAAACAUUGUGUAGUGAACCUCUAGCAAGAUUGUUCAAAUUAUAGCCCUGGGGUCAAAAUUGCCCCUGCCAUGGGGUCAUUGAUUUCCAAUAUAUACAUGUAGUAAAAAAUCAAAAAAAUCUUAUUGUCUGAAGGUACAAGGCUUAGAGCUUUAAUAUUUGUUAAAUGAUAUCAUCUAUAGGUACUCUACCAAAGUUGUUCAAAUUUUGCCUCUAGUGUCAAAAUUAGCCCCACCCCGGGGGGCAUAGGUUUUCCUUAUAUGUGUACAGUAAAAACUUAAAAAAUCAUCUUCUCUAAAUUUACAAAAGCUAGAGUUAAGAUAUUUUGCAUGAAACAUUGUGUAAGUGAACCUCUAGCAAGAUUGUACAAAUUAUAGUCCUGGUGUCAAAAUUGGCCCCACCCCCAGGGGUCAUUGAUUUUCACUAUGUACAUAUAGUAAAAAAAUAAAAAAAUCUUCUUGUCUGAAGGUACAAGGCUUAGAGCUUUAAUAUUUGGUAUAUAAUAUCAUCUAUGGGUCCUCUACUAAAGUUGUUUUAAUUAUGCCCCUAGUGAAAAAAUUGCCCUGCCCUAGAGGCGAUAGUUUUCCUUAUAUGUAUAAAGUAAAAACUUGAAAAAUCUUCUUCUCUGAAUUGACAAAGGCUAGAGGUUAAAUUUAUGGCAUGAGACUUUGGGAAGUGAACCUCUACUAAGAUUGUUCAAAUUAUAGCCCUGGGGUCAAUAUUGGGUCCGCCCCAGGUUCAUUAAUUUUCAUUUUGUACAUAUAGUAAAAAAAAAUAAAAACUAUUUUUGUCUGAAGGUACAAGGAAUAGAGCUUUGAUGUUUGCUAUAUAAUAUCAUCUGUAGGUCCUCUACCAAAGUUGUUCAAAUUUUUCCCCUGGUGUCAAAAUCGGCCCUGCCUGGGGGCAGUGAUUUUCAUUAAGUACACACAAUAAAAACAGAAAAUAAAACAAAUGUUUUCUGAAUGGGAGAAAGCUACAGCUUAGAUAUUUGACAUGAAAUGUUGUUUGGUGGACCUGUAUCAAGAUUGUUUUGAAUUAAACCAUUGGGUCAAAAUUUUGCCUUGCCCAAGGGGACAGUGACCUACUUUCUUGUCCUUUGAUGUACAGCAAUGAAAUUUUGACCAUGUGCACAGUUUUAGUUGUAAAAUUGAACUUUUAUAUCAAGUGACCUAGAUUUUGAUUAUGUGACCUACUUUCUUGUCCUUUGAUGUACAGCUAUGAAAUUUGAACCAUGUGCACAGAUUAAGAUGUAAAUUGAACUUUGAUUUCAGCUGACCUAGAUUUUGACAAAGUGUCUUACUGUGUUUUCCUUUGAUGUAGUCAUGAAAUUUAGGCUGUCGUCUGCUUAACUUUCUGCAAGGGAAUGCUAGCAGUUUAUAGUAAUUCGUUGGUUUUGCAUUGGUACCGGCUCAUCCAGACAAUAAUAUACGAGGUUAAUAAAAGACCCGUUCUUCAACAGUAUUUGUUCCUACACUUCUAUUAAGUGUUGUAUUAAUGCGGUGGCAUAGCAUUUUCUCAAAUGCAAUCUUGUUUUUCAUUUUGAGUGCAUUGUGGUAUAAUAUAGCAAUGUAUGGAGAUCAGAUGCUUUGUAAUAUAACCACAAAGGUCAUUUGCCUGUGUGAAUUAUAACAAACAUCUGAUUGACAUACAAUGUACUUUGAAAUGUUUUACCACAAAGCAGUCAAAUCAAGAUAUAUUUUAAUUCAAAGUGAGAUGAAAGGUUGGUCUCUAGACUAAUCCAAACUACUAUGAUUUACCAUUUCCGCAAAUACUUUUAGAAUAACACAUUUUGAAAAUGUAGACUUGCAUUUCAUUAUGCAGUAAGUGUUGUUAAUUGUGUAAAAUACUUCAGGGAAAUCUAGAUUUCUAGAUGAGUCAGAAGCUUGCAUUUUCUUAACGCAUAUGCAUAUAGUAUACAGGGAAGGAACACAAACAGAUGACUUCUGUCAUGUUACUGUUUGAUAACAGUGAAGGUACAGUAGGUUCAGACAAGUUAUAUACAUGUAAACAGGACAAGACAGCUCAGACCGGCAGUUUGUUAUAACAGCAAAAAGUGAUAAAGUUUCAGCCAUGAAGUCUUCAUGAUGAUGAUGAUGAGCCUAUUUAUAGAUUCUUUGCAAUUAUCUGUAAGGAAGAGGUUUCUGCUGCAGAGAAGAAAAAAAAUCAUAGAGUAAGAAGCUGCCCACUCUGUUUAAAUGAAGCUGUCUGAAGUACCCAGUAGAACAAUGUAUUAUUUCUGGAACAACUUAAUUAAAGUUGAGCUUACUAUGUGAAGGAGUUAUUUCUGUAUUCAAAAGGAAACUUCAGCAUACAGAAUACCAAUUGAGAUAUUUGUAGCUUCAGUUAUGAAAGACAAGAUUAAUUGAACUGGAAUCCCUUCAGAAGUUGACAUAGCUAAAUUCCGCAGUUUCAACUAAAUUAAUAUACAUUGGUUUUAUUUUAUACAUGUAUUUGUUAAUAAUUUUGUUUUCCAUUAUUUCCCAAUAUUGUUAAUUUUGGAUAAUAUAAUGCCACAGAACACUUGUCAGUCUUGGAGUAUGGCUGUUUAACAAAAACACUCCAGAUUCAUUGUUCGUCAGAACAAUGAAAUUACAAUUUUGCUUGUUAAUGAACUAAUUUACAUAAAUAUAUUUUAUGUAAGCAUGAAGAAAUUUGAAACAUAUCAUAUGAUUGGUAUUUGUUUCUUUUGCAUGCAAGAUCCCAAUAUAUUUCAUAGAGUGAACACCAGAUUUAAUAUUUUCAUGAAUGGCAUUGAAAAACAUAUACAAUGUAUAACUUUGCCACAAUAUUGGUAAAUUGCGGCUGCUAUUUUACUGUGACUGAAAGUAGUUCAGAUAUGACGCCUUAUUAUGUCCGAGGUCUAUAGCCCAUCAUACAAGCCAAAGAGAGCAGAUUUUUUUUUCUGUGUAGAAUCAUUAAUUUUCAAUGUUCAUAUUUGAAAGCGAUUCUGUCAUAUUUCCUGAAUUUGUUUAAUUUCCAUUAUGAUUUGCAAAUAUUAAUUAUCUACUCUUUAUUUAUCACAUUUUUUCUGAGAAAUAAAUAAAAUGUAUUUCCCACAAAAUUUCUGUUUGUUUAUAAUAUAGGCUUUUCAUCCUCAUUCAAAUAAAGUCUGGCUACUUUUGAAAUUAUACUUUAUUGUGAAAUAAUCUAAAAGUGAUGUCAUUUUUUACUAAAAAGCAUGUUAUAAGUUAUGGUGUUCAAUUGAUUUCUGCAGGACAACUUAUGAAGGAAAUGAAGUGUGUUGAUAUUUGCCAUGUUAGUAUCAAAAGACAGAUUUAGUUCAAUUUUGGCUGCAAUAAAUUAUUUUUUGCAGUUAUGCCCCAUUUAAGCUCCACUUUUUCUUUUUUAAAAAUAAAGGUAUUGUUACAGUCAUGUUGGCAUUGCCAAGAUCAUCCACAAACUUGUUCUUUGAUCAUUACUUUUUAGCUCACCUGAACGUGUUCAUGGUGAGCUAUUGUGAUCCCCCCACCAUCCGUUGUCGUGGGUCGUCACAAAGACUGCACAGUAACCAAAGUUUGCAGGAAUGAUCCUAGGGUGGUCCCCUGACAAAGUUGUUCAAAUGGUUCCAGUAUAUUGCAUAUGUAGGUCACGGGGCCAUAAAAGGAGUUUAAAAAAUGCAAACUUAAAACCUCCUCUUGUUUGAAAGUCAAGGCCUUAUGCUUUGAUAUUUGCUAUAUGCUAUCACCUAUAGGUCCUCUACCAAAGUUGUUCAAAUUAUAGCCCUGGGGUCAAAAUUAUCUCCGCCCCAGGGAUCAUAGGUUUUCCUUAUUCGAUAUAGUAAAAACUUAAAAAAUCUUCUUGUUUGAAGGUACAAGGCUUAGAGCUUAGAUAUUUGAUAUAUAAUAUCAUCUAUAGGUCCUCUACCAAAACUGUUCAAAUUAAAGCCCUUGGGUCAAAAUUGGCCACGCCCCGAGGGUCAUAGGUUUUCCUUAUAUGUAUAUAGUAAAAACUGAAAAAAUCUUUAAAAAUAAACCAAAUAGCUAGAGCUUUGAUAUAAAGCAUUAAACUUCUUCUAAUGGGUUUCUACCAAGUUUUUUCAAAUAAAAGCCCUGGGGUGAAAAUUGGCCCCGCCCACAGGGGUCAUUGUUAUUCCCUUUAUGAAUAUAGUGAAAACUUCUUUUAAAAACCCCAAAUAGCUAGGGCUAAGAUAUUUAGCAUGAAACAUACUCUAAUGGGUGUAUGCCAAUUUUUUUCAAAAAAGGAAAUAAGGAGACACCCAGUCCGUCGCAUUUUCAUUGUCCGGAGCAUAACAUGAAGACUAAUGGUUGGAAUUCAAUAUAACUUCAUACAAUGGUUAAGCACAUUAAGAGGAAGUGCAGUGCACAAGAACCAUAACUCCAUCUUCACUAAUUACAGAGUUAUUGCCCUUUGUUACUUUUCCAUUGCUUUUUUGUCCAGAGCAUAACUAGAAAAGUACUAGUUUGAAUUCAAUACUAUUUCAUACAAUGGUCAAGUAUAUUGAGAGAAAGCGCAGUGCACACAAACUCUUUCUUGACUCAUUUAAAAGUUUUCGCCCUUUGUUACUUUUUAAUACACCAGUGAAAAUACGGAAAAAAUGUUUCACUGCAGUGAAAAAUAGUUUUGAACAGUGAAAAUACGAAAAAUGAAAAUACACAUUUUAUUUCAUCAAUAUUUCUCAAUAUUUCAUUUAUUAGUAUAUGAUAAAUAUAUGUAUAUAUAGUAAACACUUAAGUUUUCUUUUUAUUUUUUAUACAUUUUCUAAUUUUGACAUUAUAAUCCAUAGACUACCCUUUAAAUGUGUGUGUAUUGGCUGAAUUUGAAGAAAAUAGUCCACCAAGACACCAGUAAAAAAUACAGUAAUUAUUUUUCACUGCAGUGAAAAAUGAAUUUUUACAAUGAAAAUAUGGGGAAAAAUGCAUUUUAUUUCAUCAAUAUUUCUCAGUAUUCCAUUUAAAAUUAUAACAUAUAAUAAAUGAUGAUAUUGAUGAUAUAUAUUGACUAUUGUAUUUCAUUUUAUGAAUGAUGAUAUCUGUAUUUCACUGUACAAUUAUAUUAAGGAAAUUUUUGGGAAAACUUGGCAUAUUGUUAGACUAUGAUAAUAGAAACAUUUUAAGCGAAAAAGAUUUGGGGGUCACCGCUCUCACUUCUGAGUUAUCUGCCCUUGAAUCAGACUUUUUUUACUAACAUAAGGUCAUUUCAAGGGUAGAUGAAUUAUAAAUAUGUCUACAUCAUCUUUUUUUUACUUCUUGAUUAUGUUUUUUUCUUUCUAAUGUUGAUCACAAUACAAAAUUACAGUUAAUUGCAUUUCUUAUUUAUGUUAAAAUGUUUCAGUUCGAAUUAAGGGAUUUAAUUUGUCUGUAAAUAAAAAAUUAAUAACCAAAAAUGGUACAGAUUUAUGAAAGAAGGGAAAAAUAGCAAUCCAUUCUUUAUUCUGUAUAGACAUUUGUCACAUGGACUCAAACAGAAGAAAACUGUAUAAAAUAAGCAAAAAAUAAGUAUUGUGUACCUUCAUUGUGAGUUAUCUGCCCUUGAUUUUGGCAAAAAGUCCAAUUUUAGGGGCAGAUAUUCGGUAAAUGGCGUAUCAAUGAAUACACUGGGCAGUCAUAGGAACAAAACUUUUCUCCAAAUAAAGAGUUUUAAAAAUUGUUGUUUCCACGUAGGUCAAGUUAGAGCGUUAAAAUUAAUUUCACAGUAGUUGUCAGUGAACUCUGGAAACGAUGAAAAACGUGUCAAAUGGAUCACUUUGACUUGUUUCAAACAUUAAAUAUCUGAUAUUGUAACAUCCAGGGUUUGUUCGUUUAGAAAUUCUGUCGGCGUCUAAAUUUCGUUCAACAUAUACUAGAUAUAUUUAGGCUUGGGGCGUCCGUGGCCGAGUGGUUAAGGUCGUUGACUUCAAACCACUUGCCCCUCACCGCUGUGGGUUCGAAUCCCGACAGGGACUUUGGAUUCUUUCAUGUGAGGAAGCUAUCCAGCUAGCUUACGGAACGUCGGUGGUUCUACUCAGGUGCCCGUUCGUGCCUGAAAUAAUGCACGGAAGGGCACCUGAGGUCUUCCUCCACCAGUAAAGCUGGAACGUCGCUAUAUGACCUAUACUGUGUCGAUGUGACGUAAAACCCAAAACAAAACAAAACAAAAAUUUAGGCUUCAAAACCAUUAUAUAUAGAAUCUAUGCAGUAUUCAUGAUAGGACGACCUUAACAAAUGUCAUUUUA